GGCGGGCACAGGGUUUCUGAAGAGGUAGACCGGUGGGCGGUUUCGUCGGGUGUCUACCUCCAGGGGUCGUUCGUGAGCCAGAGAAACCCGGACUUAGGAAGGAAGGGGCCUGGCCACACCCCUUCCGCUCUUGGCUGUGCAGUGCCCUGGUUCCCGGCGCGUUCUCUGUCGUGAGCCAAGCAAGGAAGGGUUAUGUAUGCUAGAGGAAGAAGAAUGCCCUUUCCAGAGCCAGUUCUUGGGGAAAAGAGGAACUGUUGAUAUAGCCAGAGCCUGAAAAGAAGAUAACUCUGCAACAGCUAAAGGUUGGUGACAUACUUUUUCUUCAACUUAGUGAAAGCUCUCUAUGUUUGCUUUCUUUCCCUUGAAUUCCAUUAGUGUAUUUUCUCUCAAUGACCCUUGGAACAAACAGAUAGGAAAGAUUUUAAAUCAAUAGAAUAAGCUUCAUGGAGACCAAGAGUUUAUCUAUUAUUGAUUCCCCAGCAUCUAGCAUAGUGCCUGACAUGUUGAUGCUCAAUAAAUAAUUGAUGAAGAAAGAAAAGAAAGACA
rnacentral:lncRNA from 1 species